rnacentral:lncRNA from 1 species
GUAACAGAACUGAACAAAACCACGCUUGCAGGUAGCAGUGCCGGUGCUCUUGCUGGUCCAUUUCUUCGUAGCUGGGUCAAAAAAGUUCUCACCCCAGAGCCUUUCCAUCAUCUUUGACUCAUCAACUCCAAACUUGGAAGCAUACAUCUUAGCGAAGUUGGUCAGAGUGAAAGCCCAACCGUGCAAACCAGCUGAGAAGGCGACUGUUCCUUUCUCUGGGUACACUUGGACAUCACCAAGAAGUGGAUCUUCAUAUGUAGCCAUAAUGACAUUAGCAUUCUCAAUAACCCUUUGGAAUGUCUGGUAAGCUUCCUCUCCAUCAACCUGGAGCUCAAGGAAGCAUCUGUCCAUCUUGUUAACGGUCAAAACAGGCCUGAUCCUCUCUCCCAAUGCUUGACGGAGCACAGUCUCAGUCUGGACACACACACCCUCAAUACAAUCCACCACCACAAGUGCUCCAUCAGUAAUACGCAGAGCAGCUGUGACUUCAGAUGAAAAGUCAACGUGCCCGGGGGAAUCAAUGAGAUUGAUGAGGUACUCAUUUCCGUUCCUCUCUCCCUUGUACCUCUGCAAAGACUCAUCAGUCAUCUCAUAGUACAGAGAGAUACCGGUAGAUUUAAUUGUGAUACCACGCUCUGCCUCAUCUGCGCGAGUAUCAGUCAUCCGAACAUCACCAGCAACUUCUUGUGCAAUGAUACCCGCAGCAGCAACAAGCGAGUCUGUAAGAGUUGACUUCCCUGCAUAUCAAAUUUCAAAAACAUUAUAUGUUUUGAGGAAACACCAUAGGACAUAAACAAAUAAAUGGAUAAAACGCAACUAUACAUAUUAACUGGUGAAAUAUUUCAAAUUAUAACCAAUAGAGAAAAGUUCAAAAUACUGAAAAAAAAUACACUUGACCAAAAUAUUACAACAUUAAAAAUUUUCUUUAACCAGGUUAAUAAAAACACCUUGUAACAAAGACAAGAAUUAUCAAGUGAAAAUAAAAAAGAUCUAUACCGUGAUCAACAUGAGCAAUAACAGACAUAUUGCGAAUGUUGUGCUUGUAGUCCAUAAUCCUACGGAGUUCUUCUGCUGUAAACUUCACCUGCAAUAUCAAGAAUAUCACACCAUUGUGAAUUAAGGAAUCAAUGGAGCAGCUCAGGAAUCACUAUGUAACCAUGUUCAGAUUGAUAGUCAGUGUUUACCAUCUUGACUAGUCUUUAAGAACAACCGGCAAUUAGUUUUUAUAAGAAGCUGAUUAACCGACAAGGAAACACCUGCAAAUUUAAACAACAAAAAAAUGAACUGGAAUUCAACUUGGAAUAUAAACAUUUAAAAUGACUAGAAAAUGACACACCAAUACAUUUCUAUGUUUAAAAAAUGACCAGAAAAAAAAAAUAGCAAUUUGUAUUCCACCAAAAGACUAUUGAAUUCCGGUAAAAGGAAUACAUAAUUUUUACUGUAUCAAGCAAUCUUAAUAAUCAAGACAAGUUAUUCGGUAAACGGUCUUGACAAAAGAAAAGGUAAUCACAAAUCAUUCCUUAUCAAUUAGGAUGAUCCUAUUAAUUUAGGGCCACCAAUAACAACAAAAUAGAAAACAAGUACGCAUAAUAAUUCUCUCUUACAAAUUAGUAUAUUUUAGAACGAAAAUUAUUCUGGAAAAUAUUUUUAUAUUAUUUCUUUGACAUGAAUAGGAAACAAAAUGUUCUGAAAAAAUUACUCAUAAAUUCAAACGAAACCUUAAUUUUCGAAAAUCUUUCCACUAAAAAAAUUGCUCAACGAAACUAUUUUCCAGCAAAACAACAGAGUAUUAGUACGAUCAAAGUAGAAAACAAGAUCUAGCAAAUACAAAACAUCUAGGGUAGUGCUAACCACACACCCACUUUACUUUUCACACACACUCAACUUUCUGCUGUAGGAUAAAAUGAAUUGAAGAAGAUCAAUGGCUAAAAACUAAAAAUGGAUGUGUGAACAAUUUACAAAUACUAGCGAAAUUAUCAUAUAUCACGUAAAAAUUAUCAAAAACGUCAGAAAAUUAUUCCACAGCAAAAAAAAUUUCACGUAAAAAUUUUCCGAUGAACCAACCAGAGCCUGAGAGAGUGAUCUGUACGGAAAACAAGGAUCUAAUACAAACACAUUUCACACAAACAUAUAUACACACACAAUGCAUCCGUAAAACCUGAGCAACGAUCGAAACGAUAAACGAGCAAAGACAUAAUACCAAACCAAAAGCAUGCAUAACAAUAAUAUAUUUCCAACAAUACAAAAUGCAUGCAGAUCACAGAUUUUUCAGAACAACAAAAUGCAUGAUUAACGACGAUAAUCAAGAAAUCACGAGGAUAAUCGGGGGGAUUAAAUCAAAGGAAGCGACUGAUUCGAAUAGCAUAGAAUUAGAGGAACGAACCUGAAGGAUCGGGAGAUGGAGAGCGAGGGAGGGAUGGAGAGAGGAGUGACUCUCCGCAGCCUAGAGCUAGUGGUGCAAAUGGGACUGAGAGAAUGUGUGGAGCCCGGAGGAGGGUGUGAGUGUUAUAUAAGGUUAGGGUUUUCGUUUCUUGGGUUGGGCUCCGCUUUCAUAGUUUAUACUAUUUUCUAGGCCCACCAAAAUCUCCAUCGGCCUUUUUUUAUUCUAAAAUCAUGGGCCUUAGGGCUUUUUAUUUAUUUUUUAUUUUUAACAACAUUAUAUAAUUAUGGAUAAUGAUGGGAAGAUCAAAUUUGAAAAUCAAAUAAAUAGAAAAUUAGCACGUUAAUUAAUAUUUCAAUAAUAAUUCAAUUACAUUUCAUAAUCAUAAAAGUCGACUAAGUGCAAAAAGACGGCCACACAUGACCUUUGCCAAUCGACCUAUUCCACAGUUGUAUGACCUAGGUUAAGAAGGUCAAAGCUUCUUGUUAGACACUCAAAACUCAAAACUUCAAAUUCUUGUUUAUUAAUUAAACAAAAAAUAUUGAGAAAAGUUAUUAGCAUUUUAGUAUGGCAUGUUUUUCUUUGAUUGUAAGUGAGAGAAAAGUGAGAAGUGGAAAUGAAUACAACUACACUGUCGUGCUAAGCAGCCUCCAAUAUUCGUAAGGUAGGCAUAAACUUCUUCGUCUAAUAAACGUUUUCUAAAUAUGAGCCUAGGGUUUAUUUACAAGAUAUACAUAUAUUCUAACCAAUUCACUUAACCCAACCCACACUUGCAAAGAUAGCCUAGAUUUAAAAAGCCUUAGCUCCCCCAAACACUUCUACUUUGGACACCAAACCCCAACUCUCUUUUUUUCAUUUUUGUAGCCAAAACUAUAGUAUCUACAUGUAACAACAUUGAUAUCAAGUCGAUGAAUUGUAUAGCAUGAAUUUUAAAGGGUGUUUGUUUGCCCUCACUAAGCUUCACUAGAUUGGAUUGGCUUAGCUGGAAUUUCUAAUUCGUGUUUGGUUGGAACAAGGAUUAAGUAUAAUGGGACUAAGUCGGAUUCGUGCCAACUAAGUCCUUCACUCCCAGUUCUUAGCUAGGUUGCCCGAAACAUAUGGGAUUGCUAAUCCCGUCUCUAAAGCUGUGUACAAAGUCUGCACGCUGCAUCAUCUACACGCUGCAAGUCAUCUGCAAUCAUGCUUCUUUGCAACUCUGUUUGGCCACCUAUGCCCAGAUCUGAAACCCACCACACCCACUGCCUAAUUCUCAACAUCCAACUACCAAAAUUCGAAAAGAAAAAAAGUCAAUUCGAUAACAACAACAAACUCAAUAGAAAAAUUCUUCAUUUUUCCUAGAAAAUUAAGAGAAUUUUUGAGACAAUCAAAGGAGUGGCGAGAAAUAGAGUGGUCGUGAAAUCCAUGACGCAGCAGAGGGGUGCCUCUGCACGAUUUCAAUUCUCCGUGGGAUAUGAAGUUGGGAAACCAGAAUCUGUGGUGCCAGAAAUAGUUUAGAGGAAUCACAACAGCAAAGAAAAGGAAAGGGAAAAAAAGAGAACAAAACGGGGGUGAUGAAUGACGUUGAGUGAGGAGAGAGUGGAAAGGAAAAGAAAAAGACGAAGAGAGUGGAAAGGAAAAAUAAGAAAAAAAUGUGGAAAGAAAAAAAUGUGAAGAAAAAAAUGACGAAAUUAUUUGAUUUUCCAAAAUAAUGUAGUCCGUAACUUAGUCCGAUAUUGCAUCAACCGCUCCAUUAUUCUUAUCCUACUUAGUCCAUGCCUAGCCAAUCUAACUUAAUCUUUAAAGCUAAUCUAGUCCGAAAUAAUCCAAUACAACAAACGCACCCAAUCCCAUAUUGAUGCAGGCCAACCAAAUUCAUAAACUAGCACAAUUAAGAAUACAAAGCCGCUGGUUCCACAACUUACAAAACCUGAAUCAAACACGAGCUAGAGCGGUUUUCGGCACCUGUGCAGCCACUCGUAUUGGCGGCGCGCGAGCCGAGCAUUGCAACCACCACCUUCGAGGCGUUUUCCCAUCUCUAAUGAAAUAGUAGCAGAAGAAGCUGUUGCAGGUCUUCAAGUUAGAAAGAACAAACAUCAAUCAAAUACAUGAAACAAAGUAGACAAAAGUAUAGUAAAUUCAAAAAGCGUGUAGCAACAAUGGCAGAAAUUGUUCCACAAGCAACAAGGUAAAAGCAGAACAUUAUAAAGGUCUCUGUUCUGAGCACGCACAAAACAUUUAACUACUGGCACCCAGAUGCUGACUACAGCAACAAUGUUAACAACAUUAAACAAAAACGAUUAAACUGGAAACCAAAAAAUUAACGCAGUGCAUCGAAAACAAAUUAUUACUCAAAGCUUGUCCUCAAACUCGGAUAGUGGGGUCAUCUGCUCCUUCAAUCCCUUCCUCUUACGGAUGUCGGUAACAAGUGCUGCAGCCUGGGAUCCAGCUUCCAAUGGAUCAGACGACAUCAUCUCCCAAUGAUCAAACACACAUUGUGGGAAAGCCUGUCCAGAAGUUGCAGCCCUCAGUUGACCAGAGAAUCCAAAGGACUCGACAACGGGGAGGUAUGCCUUGAUGUUGUAAAGUGGAGUUCCCGGCCUCUGCAUCUCCUCAAACACGUGUCCACGUUUCUGAUUCAGAACACUGUAUAUACCUCCAAGAGCCCCCUCUGGAGCUUGAAUUUCAACAAGAUACACUGGUUCGAGAAGCCUUGGCUUGGCUGUGAGCUGAGAGGCAUAGAUGACCCUCCGAGCAGUUGGAAUGACCUGACCUCCCCCUCUGUGGAUGGCAUCAGCGUGAAGAACCACAUCACAAACUUCAAAGCAAAUACCUCUCAUGUUUUCUUCUGCCAAUGCACCUUCCUUUGAGGCCCACUGGAACCCAGCAACAACUGAAUCCUUGAUUUCAUUAAGGUACUGGACUCCCUUACACAUGUCGACCACCAUGUUAGGACCAGUGGUCUCGGGACCAAAACACCAGAUUUUCUUAGCAAGAUCCUUGUCCCAACCAAACUCCUCAGCCAAGAUCUUGGAACGAAUCUUGGGAUCAUCUCUUGGGCCAAUGCGACCUUCAUCAAUAGCCUCAGGAAGCCCUUCCUCAAGGGGCCUUGCUUCCAUGUACAGACGGUUAUGCUUGUUUGGAGACUUGCUCAUCACUGUACGGCAGGACUUAUCAAGGACAGUCUCACGGAAGGACACAACAGGGUCAGACUUUAUAAUCUCAGCACCACCCAUAAAAUCAUCUUGCAGAUCCUUCAAACAGAUCUCAAGAUGCAGUUCACCAGCACCAGCAAUAAUGUGCUCUCCCGACUCCUCAAUGGAGCAGACAACCAUAGGAUCAGACUUGGCCAAACGCUUGAGACCUUCAACAAGUUUGGGAAGGUCAGAUGCAACCUUGCACUGGACAGCAACACGCACGACGGGUGAAACUGAGAACUUCAUAGCACGAAUAGGGUGAGCAUCCACUUCCUUCUCAUUUGUUAAAGUAGCAUUCUUGGUGAUAAACUGAUCCAAACCGACCAAGGCAACAGUGUUACCGCAAGGAACAUCCUCAACAGUUUCUUGUCUCUUUCCCAUCCAAAUAACAGUCCUCUGUACAUUCUUGACAUACAAAUCCUUCUUCUCUCCAGGAACAAAAUUUGGACCCAUGAUUCUAACCUUCAAACCUGUCUGAACUUUACCAGCAAAGACACGGCCAAAGGCAAAGAAUCUACCCUUAUCAGAAGCGGGAAUCAUCUUAGACACAUAGAGCAUAAGAGGUCCUUCGGGGUCACAGUUCCUGAUGGCAUUAGCAUAUUGAUCAUCAAGGGGACCCUCAUACAAAUUCUCAACACGGUACCUUUGAGCCGUGGAAGGAGAUGGAAGGUGAAAGAUCAUCAUUUCCAAUAGAGCAGUGCUAGCUGGUAGCCAGGUCUGCAUAACACGCUUCAUCAAUGCCUUCCCCAUCAGGUCCUUCUCAUCACUCUUCAUGGUGACACCAAGCUUUGUCAACAUGGGCCACAACUUAUCCUUCUGAUCAUUCAUGCACGUGUUGAUGAUCUGCUUGAUGGGCUCAUAACAGAACUGAACGAAACCACGCUUGCAGGUUGCAGUUCCGGUGUUCUUGCUGGUCCAUUUCUUCGUAGCUGGGUCAAAAUAGUUCUCACCCCAGAGCCUUUCCAUCAUCUUUGACUCAUCAACUCCAAACUUGGAAGCAUACAUCUUAGCGAAGUUGGUCAGAGUGAAAGCCCAACCGUGCAAACCAGCUGAGAAGGCGACUGUUCCUUUCUCUGGGUAGACCUGAACAUCACCAAGAAGUGGAUCUUCAUAUGUAGCCAUAAUGACAUUGGCAUUCUCAAUAACCCUUUGGAAUGUCUGGUAAGCCUCCUCUCCAUCA